CUGUGGUAGUCUGGUGCCUGAGUUGUUAACAUUUUUCGAAAUAUUUUCUUUGGGUUCAACCAAACAAAAUAUUACACAGGUUUGUAGCAAAUUAUGCGAGUAAUUCAUGACAGAAUUUUCAUUUUUGGUUGAACUGUCACUUUAAAUGAACGAAAGUGCAGAAAAUCUGUAAGUGCAGUUACUGGUCCCAGUCAGACUAGCAUAGUUUUUUAUAUUUUUCUCAAAUCAAAUAAAUUAUAGGACAUGUGUUGACUAAAAUGACAAGCUGUUUCUUGAAAAUAAAAAUACGAUAAGAAUUUGUUCUGAAAAUCAAAGCAAACAAAAUUAUGAAAGGUUCUUUUUUUCUUAUGUUUGUCACAUGUCCAGCAGAUGGCAGCAUGGAACCAAAGAAAAAAUAACUAAAGUUGCAGCUCUGUCCCUCUGACGGCGGUUCUUAAACCAGUUGCUGACUUGUGUAGCAGUGAGACCAGUGGCUGCUGCUAAAUCCCGUUUCUCUCGUGGUGAAGGGUAUGGCUUUCUGCAGUACCACUCUCUCAGCACAGUUCGGGACUUCUCCUGGAACCAGACAAAGCAGAAGAUGCAACCAAAAGUUCAAGAAGAUUGUACGAGGAAGAGGGAAUUUACGUCGGAUGCGGUACUUUCCCACAGCACCAAGAGGGCGGCCCCGAUGUAUUUCAGCCUCCAUGUAGUGCGCCCGGAGCCAGAGCUGCUGGAGGAGAGGGUGACU